UCCAGACUCCUACGGGAGGCAGCAGUGAGGAAUAUUGGUCAAUGGGCGGGAGCCUGAACCAGCCAAGUCGCGUGAGGGAAGACGGUCCUACGGAUUGUAAACCUCUUUUGCCGGGGAGCAACGGGGUCCUUGCGAGGGCCCGAUGAGAGUACCCGGAGAAAAAGCAUCGGCUAACUCCGUGCCAGCAGCCGCGGUAAUACGGAGGAUGCGAGCGUUAUCCGGAUUUAUUGGGUUUAAAGGGUGCGUAGGCGGGAUGCCAAGUCAGCGGUAAAAAUGCGGUGCUCAACGCCGUCGAGCCGUUGAAACUGGCGUUCUUGAGUGGGCGAGAAGUAUGCGGAAUGCGUGGUGUAGCGGUGAAAUGCAUAGAUAUCACGCAGAACUCCGAUUGCGAAGGCAGCAUACCGGCGCCCUACUGACGCUGAGGCACGAAAGCGUGGGUAUCGAACAGGAUUAGAUACCCGAGUA
rnacentral:rRNA from 1 species